GAUGAACGCUGGCGGCGUGCUUAACACAUGCAAGUCGAACGAUUAAGACGGCUUCGGCCGUGAAUAGAGUGGCGAACGGGUGAGUAACACGUGACCAACCUGCCCCCCGCUCCGGGACAACCGCUGGAAACGGCGGCUAAUACCGGGUACUCCGGCCAGCCCGCAUGGGCGGGCCGGGAAAGCCCAGGCGGCGGGGGAUGGGGUCGCGGCCCAUUAGGUAGUAGGCGGGGUAGAGGCCCACCUAGCCGACGAUGGGUAGCCGGACUGAGAGGUCGACCGGCCACAUUGGGACUGAGAUACGGCCCAGACUCCUACGGGAGGCAGCAGUGGGGAAUUUUGCGCAAUGGGGGAAACCCUGACGCAGCAACGCCGCGUGCGGGACGAAGGCCCUCGGGUCGUAAACCGCUUUCAGCAGGGAAGACAGUGACGGUACCUGCAGAAGAAGCUCCGGCUAACUACGUGCCAGCAGCCGCAGUAACAC
rnacentral:rRNA from 1 species